rnacentral:tRNA from 1 species
GCUCUGGUGGCUCAAUCGGAUAGAGCGUUGGACUUCUAAUCCAAAGGUUGCGGGUUCAAGUCUCGUCCAGAGUA